rnacentral:ncRNA from 2 species
UUACAAAACCACGGGAGUGCCAACCGAAAUUCCGGCACUGAGAGGACGCUAGGGAUCGAGCGUCGACCGGACGAACCUGAAUCUGGGUAAUACCAGCGUAGGAAAGGGAUGUGUUGCUUCAU